UUAAGUUAUUAAGGGCGCACGGUGGAUGCCUUGGCACUAGAAGCCGAUGAAGGACGUUACUAACGACGAUAUGCUUUGGGGAGCUGUAAGUAAGCUUUGAUCCAGAGAUUUCCGAAUGGGGAAACCCAGCAUGAGUUAUGUCAUGUUAUCGAUAUGUGAAUACAUAGCAUAUCAGAAGGCAUACCCGGAGAACUGAAACAUCUUAGUACCCGGAGGAAGAGAAAGAAAAUUCGAUUCCCUUAGUAGCGGCGAGCGAAACGGGAAGAGCCCAAACCAACAAGCUUGCUUGUUGGGGUUGUAGGACACUCUAUACGGAGUUACAAAGGACGACAUUAGACGAAUCAUCUGGAAAGAUGAAUCAAAGAAGGUAAUAAUCCUGUAGUCGAAAAUGUUGUCUCUCUUGAGUGGAUCCUGAGUACGACGGAGCACGUGAAAUUCCGUCGGAAUCUGGGAGGACCAUCUCCUAAGGCUAAAUACUCUCUAGUGACCGAUAGUGAACCAGUACCGUGAGGGAAAGGUGAAAAGCACCCCGGAAGGGGAGUGAAAUAGAACCUGAAACCGUGUGCUUACAAGUAGUCAGAGCCCGUUAAUGGGUGAUGGCGUGCCUUUUGUAGAAUGAACCGGCGAGUUACGAUUUGAUGCAAGGUUAAGCAGUAAAUGUGGAGCCGUAGCGAAAGCGAGUCUGAAUAGGGCGUUUAGUAUUUGGUCGUAGACCCGAAACCAGGUGAUCUACCCUUGGUCAGGUUGAAGUUCAGGUAACACUGAAUGGAGGACCGAACCGACUUACGUUGAAAAGUGAGCGGAUGAACUGAGGGUAGCGGAGAAAUUCCAAUCGAACCUGGAGAUAGCUGGUUCUCUCCGAAAUAGCUUUAGGGCUAGCCUCAAGUGAUGAUUAUUGGAGGUAGAGCACUGUUUGGACGAGGGGCCCCUCUCGGGUUACCGAAUUCAGACAAACUCCGAAUGCCAAUUAAUUUAACUUGGGAGUCAGAACAUGGGUGAUAAGGUCCGUGUUCGAAAGGGAAACAGCCCAGACCACCAGCUAAGGUCCCAAAAUAUAUGUUAAGUGGAAAAGGAUGUGGCGUUGCCCAGACAACUAGGAUGUUGGCUUAGAAGCAGCCAUCAUUUAAAGAGUGCGUAAUAGCUCACUAGUCGAGUGACACUGCGCCGAAAAUGUACCGGGGCUAAACAUAUUACCGAAGCUGUGGAUUGUCCUUUGGACAAUGGUAGGAGAGCGUUCUAAGGGCGUUGAAGCAUGAUCGUAAGGACAUGUGGAGCGCUUAGAAGUGAGAAUGCCGGUGUGAGUAGCGAAAGACGGGUGAGAAUCCCGUCCACCGAUUGACUAAGGUUUCCAGAGGAAGGCUCGUCCGCUCUGGGUUAGUCGGGUCCUAAGCUGAGGCCGACAGGCGUAGGCGAUGGAUAACAGGUUGAUAUUCCUGUACCACCUAUAAUCGUUUUAAUCGAUGGGGGGACGCAGUAGGAUAGGCGAAGCGUGCGAUUGGAUUGCACGUCUAAGCAGUAAGGCUGAGUAUUAGGCAAAUCCGGUACUCGUUAAGGCUGAGCUGUGAUGGGGAGAAGACAUUGUGUCUUCGAGUCGUUGAUUUCACACUGCCGAGAAAAGCCUCUAGAUAGAAAAUAGGUGCCCGUACCGCAAACCGACACAGGUAGUCAAGAUGAGAAUUCUAAGGUGAGCGAGCGAACUCUCGUUAAGGAACUCGGCAAAAUGACCCCGUAACUUCGGGAGAAGGGGUGCUCUUUAGGGUUAACGCCCAGAAGAGCCGCAGUGAAUAGGCCCAAGCGACUGUUUAUCAAAAACACAGGUCUCUGCUAAACCGUAAGGUGAUGUAUAGGGGCUGACGCCUGCCCGGUGCUGGAAGGUUAAGAGGAGUGGUUAGCUUCUGCGAAGCUACGAAUCGAAGCCCCAGUAAACGGCGGCCGUAACUAUAACGGUCCUAAGGUAGCGAAAUUCCUUGUCGGGUAAGUUCCGACCCGCACGAAAGGCGUAACGAUUUGGGCACUGUCUCAACGAGAGACUCGGUGAAAUCAUAGUACCUGUGAAGAUGCAGGUUACCCGCGACAGGACGGAAAGACCCCGUGGAGCUUUACUGUAGCCUGAUAUUGAAAUUCGGCACAGCUUGUACAGGAUAGGUAGGAGCCUUUGAAACGUGAGCGCUAGCUUACGUGGAGGCGCUGGUGGGAUACUACCCUAGCUGUGUUGGNNUUUCUAACCCGCACCACUUAUCGUGGUGGGAGACAGUGUCAGGCGGGCAGUUUGACUGGGGCGGUCGCCUCCUAAAAGGUAACGGAGGCGCUCAAAGGUUCCCUCAGAAUGGUUGGAAAUCAUUCAUAGAGUGUAAAGGCAUAAGGGAGCUUGACUGCGAGACCUACAAGUCGAGCAGGGUCGAAAGACGGACUUAGUGAUCCGGUGGUUCCGCAUGGAAGGGCCAUCGCUCAACGGAUAAAAGCUACCCCGGGGAUAACAGGCUUAUCUCCCCCAAGAGUUCACAUCGACGGGGAGGUUUGGCACCUCGAUGUCGGCUCAUCGCAUCCUGGGGCUGUAGUCGGUCCCAAGGGUUGGGCUGUUCGCCCAUUAAAGCGGUACGCGAGCUGGGUUCAGAACGUCGUGAGACAGUUCGGUCCCUAUCCGUCGUGGGCGUAGGAAAUUUGAGAGGAGCUGUCCUUAGUACGAGAGGACCGGGAUGGACAUACCUCUGGUGUACCAGUUGUCGUGCCAACGGCAUAGCUGGGUAGCUAUGUGUGGACGGGAUAAGUGCUGAAAGCAUCUAAGCAUGAAGCCCCCCUCAAGAUGAGAUUUCCCAACUUCGGUUAUAAGAUCCCUCAAAGAUGAUGAGGUUAAUAGGUUCGAGGUGGAAGCAUGGUGACAUGUGGAGCUGACGAAUACUAAUCGAUCGAAGACUUAAUCAA
rnacentral:rRNA from 1 species